CCUACGGGAGGCAGCAGUGGGGAAUAUUGCGCAAUGGGCGAAAGCCUGACGCAGCGACGCCGCGUGAGGGAUGAAGGUCUUCGGAUCGUAAACCUCUGUCAGCAGGGAAGAACGGGCACUGUGCUAAUCAGCAGUGAAUUGACGGUACCUGCAAAGGAAGCACCGGCUAACUCCGUGCCAGCAGCCGCGGUAAUACGGAGGGGGCGAGCGUUAAUCGGAAGUACUGGGCGUAAAGCGCUCGUAGGCGGUAUGUCAAGUCAAGGGUGAAAUCCCCGCGCUCAACGUGGGAACUGCCUUUGAAACUGGCAAGCUUGAGUGUGUGAGAGGAUAGUAGAAUUCCAGGUGUAGGAGUGAAAUGCGUAGAUAUCUGGAGGAACAUCAGUGGCGAAGGCGACUAUCUGGCACAUGACUGACGCUGAGGAGCGAAAGCGUGGGUAGCAAACAGGAUUAGAUACCCGAGUAGUC
rnacentral:rRNA from 1 species